UACGUAGGGUGCAAGCGUUGUCCGGAAUUAUUGGGCGUAAAGAGCUCGUAGGCGGUUUGUUGCGUCGGCUGUGAAAUCCCGAGGCUCAACCUCGGGUCUGCAGUCGAUACGAGCAAACUAGAGUGUUGCAGGGGAGACUGGGAAUUCCUGGUGUAGCGGUGAAAUGCGCAGAUAUCAGGAGGAACACCCGGUGGGCGAAAGGCGGGGUCUCUGGGCAACAACUGACGC
rnacentral:rRNA from 1 species